UCUAGAUUUUUUUCUCUCUCUUUAUGGAAUUUAUCUCUCUAGUAUUUUUCUCUCUCUCUGAUUUCAUCACGGACCCUAGGAUAAAAUUGAGAUGAAAAUAAGAUGAUUUGAGAUUGCUCCGAAAUUCGUGCGAUAGAUCUGAUCUCAGUUCGAUUCUAUUUGAAAUUUGUAACACUUGAUUUAUGUUAAGUCACCCUGAUAGGACCUCUGAUGAUCUUGACCAUGAUUGCCUCAUCGGAAGAAUACGAAGAUUUCUCUCUCCACUUUCUCUCUCUAUUUUCUCUCUCUAAAAUUUUCUCUCUCUUCAUGGAUUUUCUCUCUCUAAAAGUCUUAUGGAUCAGUGGAGGAUCUAGAUACUUAGAUAAAUCUUAAUUUUGAUUAAUCCUAAGAGAG
rnacentral:lncRNA from 1 species